AUUUCAGGAGCAAUCUCGUAGGAACAGUAACAAUAGGAAAAAACAGAAGAUUAAACAUACAAGUGGCAGGAAAUCAUUUGUUAGGCUUAUGGAAGAGAGGGGUGAGGAGGCUUGUAAUAUGAUAGAGUUUUACAAAGAAACACACUGGUCCAAUAAGAAGGGUAAAUUCAUCAAUGCAGCUAGUGAACACAAUUAUAAUCUGAUGCUUGAGAGGUUGGGUGAGAAAGAAACUGAAGAGGAUGUUGAACUUGACAAUGGUGAUGUUUUCAAAGAGGUGUUGGGGUUCAAGUCUGGCUACGCAC